rnacentral:rRNA from 1 species
UACGUAGGGUGCGAGCGUUGUUCGGAAUUACUGGGCGUAAAGCGAGUGUAGGCGGUUUGGUAAGUCGGAUGUGAAAGCCCCGGGCUCAACCCGGGAAGUGCACUCGAUACUGCCAAGCUAGAGUAUCGGAGAGGUUGGUGGAAUUCUCGGUGUAGAGGUGAAAUUCGUAGAUAUCGAGAGGAACACCGGUGGCGAAGGCGGCCAACUGGACGAAUACUGACGCUGAGACUCGAAAGCGUGGGGAGCAAACAGG